rnacentral:piRNA from 1 species
UGAGCCUUUUCUUCAAUUUAGGGUGUCAAGGU